rnacentral:lncRNA from 1 species
UGCCCUGAGAGUCAGGGGCAAGGGGUGGAGAGAGCAGUCACCUCUCUAGCUGAAGAUUACCAAGCCCACUUCUCCAGCCCAAGGCUGCAGAGGACAGGCACAGUUAGGCAAGUCUCCCCAAAUCAUGAUCAUUCAUUUCCUUUUUCUGCAAAAAAAAAAAAAAAAAAAAAAAAAAAAAAGCGGAUGUGGCCGUGCCAGGGAGCAGCAGGCCAGGUCAGUGGGAGAUGAUGCCGGUUUCCAGGCAACUACAUGGAAUUUGGUGAGAAAUGAAGAAACUGAGCCACCAAGAUCUGUUGGUUCGACGGAAAACUACCGUUAUCCAAAUGCUGCGCCUGAACAGAGGCUGGAGAGGGCGGAACGAGGCUGUGGGAAUGGAAGCCUCUGUGGGUGCUCCUCUCUCUUGAAAGAGCAGCCAGUUGCGCACAUGGGAAAGAGAUGUGUGUCUCUUCCCUGAUCAUCCUUUGCAGAAGAGGUGGCUUAGCAAGAUAGGGUGGACUCUGUGGCUCACUGUGGCUGUACAGUGGGUGCCUGU